ACGCCUUAUACAUGCAAGUCGAACGCAGUAGCAAUACUGAGUGGCAAACGGGUGAGUAUAAUGUGGGAAUCUGCCUUUUGGUUUGGAAUAACAUGGGGAAACUCGUGCUAAUACCGAAUAAGCCUUUACAGGGAAAGUUUUAACGCCAAAAGAUGAGCCCGCACUUGAUUAGUUAGUUGGUGAGGUAAAAGCUCACCAAGGCUUCGAUCAAUAGCUGGUCUGAGAGGACGAUCAGCCACAUUGGGACUGAGACACGGCCCAGACUCCUACGGGAGGCAGCAGUAAGGAAUCUUGCACAAUGGGGGAAACCCUGAUGCAGCGAUGCCGCGUGAGUGAAGAAGGCCCUUGGGUUGUAAAACUCUUUCGUCGGGGAAGAAAAUGACUGUACCCGAAUAAGAAGGUCCGGCUAACUUCGUGCCAGCAGCCGCGGUAAUACGAAGGGACCUAGCGUAGUUCGGAAUUACUGGGCUUAAAGAGCUCGUAGGUGGUUAAAAAAGUUGAUUGUGAAAUCCCAAGGCUCAACCUUGGAACUGCAAUCAAAACUUUUUAGCUAGAGUGUGAUAGAGGAAAGUGGAAUUUCUAGUGUAGAGGUGAAAUUCGUAGAUAUUAGAAAGAACACCAAAAGCGAAGGCAACUUUCUGGGUCACUACUGACACUGAGGAGCGAAAGCAUGGGUAGCGAAGAGGAUUAGAUACCCUCGUAGUCCAUGCCGUAAACGAUGUGUGCUAGACGUUGGAAACAUAGUUUUCAGUGUCGCAGCGAAAGCAUUAAGCACACCGCCUGGGGAGUACGACCG
rnacentral:rRNA from 1 species